CUCUCUCUCUCUCUCUCUCUCAUUACAUCUACCUACAACAAGAACAAUGAUUCUCGAGCCUUUCAUCCAAUCAAUCUUUCAACGAUCAGAGUUUGCAAGCUUGGAGCGGUUGGCGCUAUGAUCUGGAAUCGUCGUGGAGAUUCUGGCGUCAGUGAGCGGUUAGGAUUAUGCUGCAACAAGGAGGAUCGGUUUAGCAUGGGAUUUUGAACAACAGAAGGCAGAAGGCAGGUCUUGACUAAGGUGAGUACUGCGGUUUUAUCCUUGACAAGUUUUUUCUCAACACCACUUGACAGUUUCGUCCUCUUGAGUACUUGUCAUUGCCUCUAGUGACUAUUGUAGAAGUAAAGAAAAGGUGUUCACCUAAAAAAAUGGUCCUUAUUAACCAAUUUUAUAAGACAAAUAUUGACUCGGCUAAGUUUUCAUGGCCCGAUGGAUUGGCCAAGUCAAUGCAAAACUUGGUCGAUUUUUAUAUAGGACUGAUGCAUAGUAUGAAUCAGCGGAG